CUAGCGGUAGGCUUAACACAUGCAAGUCGAACGGAAUCAAGGCUGCUUGCAGCCUUGAUCACGUGGCAGACGGGUGCGUAACGCGUGGGAACUUACCUGGUAGUAGGGAAUAACCAGUGGAAACAUUGGGCAACACCCUAUACGCCCUGAGGGGGAAAAUUUAUUGCUAUCAGAUAGGCCCGCGUUAGAUUAGCUAGUUGGUGGGGUAAUGGCCUACCAAGGCGACGAUCUAUAGCUGGUCUGAGAGGAUGAUCAGCCACACUGGAACUGAGACACGGUCCAGACUCCUACGGGAGGCAGCAGUGAGGAAUAUUGGACAAUGGGCGAAAGCCUGAUCCAGCCAUACCGCAUGAGUGAUGAAGGCCCUUGGGUUGUAAAGCUCUUUUAGUGGGGAAGAUAAUGACGGUACCCACAGAAGAAGUCCCGGCUAACUCCGUGCCAGCAGCCGCGGUAAUACGGAGGGGGCUAGCGUUGUUCGGAAUUACUGGGCGUAAAGGGUGCGUAGGCGGUCCCGUAAGUUAGGUGUG
rnacentral:rRNA from 1 species